rnacentral:lncRNA from 1 species
AUUUAUUUAGAUUUGUUUAUUAAUUUCUUGAUUGAUAUAAAUACAAACUUAUCUUUUAUUCGAAUAGAAAUCUUAUUUCAAUUAAAAGUACACUUUGAUUUGAAAUUCAUGGCCCACUUUUAAUAGAAAACUCUUUACUCACCCAAUUCUUAUCCAAUAUCUUGUAGUGCACGGCUCCCACUUCUAAACCCUUACAAACUCUAUUAGACUAGGUCAUAAUGGUGUAGGUAUAUAGGUGUCAAUUGGAGGUAGAGAACACACAAAAAUUUUAUAUACAUACGGCAGAUAAUAGAAAUAAAGAUUUGGAACGUGUUUUCGGUAUUGUCUUUCAAAUUUAUUUGAUCUAACGAGGUGCAGUUGUUUUAUUUCGUUUAAAUUGUUUAUUUUCAUGUUAUUGAAUUAUUAUGCUUAUGAAAGCUUAUAAAUAUGAUAUGUAUGUUAUGACCAUCUGAUGAUAAAGAUAUAAUGUUUAUUGAGCUCUUAGCGGUUUCUAAAGAGAUGAUGACGGUAUUAUAUUUUAACGCAUAAUUUAAAUAUUUUUAUUUGAGAUUGCAUCGUGAUUUUUUGUGUACUACUGAGUAUUUCUUUGUACUCACCAUUUUCUUCACUCCUCAUAGAUUAAAACGGAUAGUUGGUUGGCGGGCGAUGAAGUGCAUUUGUGAUGCCAGAAAUUAAGAAAUUCAAUAAAAAUAAUCCGAAGUAACAUGAAUAUGGAUCUUUAUUUUUCAACGUUAUUUUAGUUUUAUUUCCAUGUGAAAUUUGUUAUUUAGGAUUUGGAACAUGUUUCAAUUGAUAUGUUUCCUAUAUGUUUUAUUUAUUAUUGGUGGAACGUAGAUUGUCAUGUUGGGGUGUCUUAUAAGUUUAUUUAACUAUGGAAAUGAAACUUGUAGUAACAAUUUAAAUCUUUAAAAUUUGGGUCGUUACACCAUUCUUGCAUGGAGGGGUUUUCCACCUUAUCAUCAAUCUCUCUUGUGUAAUAUUUGUUGGAAUUCACCUAGAGCAAGAGUUUGGACCAUGUAAAUUUUUCUGUCCUUGUUUCAUUAUCCUAAAUUGAGAAAAUUCGUAACUAAAUUUUGAAUUUCUUCCCGUUAGUGAGUUAUCUUAUUCUUCCUUUUCAAUUUUUUCCUGUGCAGUAAGGACGGGGCUUAUCUACAUACUCUCAGCUCUUAGUGGAAGUUUGGUAGCUGCUCUGUUUCUUCAAGAUAGGCCAUCAGUUUCUUUGUCUAGUGCGUUAUUUGGAUUGCUUGGUGCAAUGCUAUCUGGGCUUAUCCGGAAUUGGAAAUUUUACUCCAAAAAGGCCCUCGAGAUUGUUGUAUUAGGGGCCUUUUGUUUGCUUUCAUCUUCAAUGAGACUGAUAAUUCAUCUUUCAUUUGUUUGCGGUUUGCUAUACUUGUGGCUUUUACCGUGAGCUUGAUGCUAAAUUUCGUCCUAGGCUUGAUGCAGCAAUAUUUCAAACAUAGGAGGCCUUAUUUCUUGGUUUUUUGCUCUUAUUCAAACCUCGACUGGAGAAAAUAUAUCAAAACAAAGACAGUUUAUUCGAAUAUGAUGUCAAGCAUUCUGUCAAACUUAAGCAGAAGUUAGGCAGACCAGUCUUGAGGAGUAUUUCUCUUGUCAUCUUCAGUCUUCUGGAAGUUUGUGUUCUUUACCCAUUAUUAUUUCAUUUCAUUGGCCUUGCAUGAAAUCUCAAACGCGGCAUCUCUUCAUUAUUCAGACUUGCAGGAGUUAUUGUGGCAGUAGUUCAAGGCAUAAAUGUGAACAAAUAUUGUAUCUGGUGCCAAUUUAUUGACUGUGUUCCAUCCAAAUGAUGAAGCUGCGGUAGCAAAAUGACACAUUGUGAGGUAUAGCAGAAAUGAACUUCUCAAAUAAGCAUGCAUCUCGAACAAAAUAAAUUUAAAAGAAAUUGUGGAAAAUAAUUAAAAAAUUCUCCAAAAACAAUGAAUUGGAUGGCACUAAUUCUACUUGUUUGGGUGCAGACAACGGCAAACUCAGAGCAUUUGACAUUGACAUGUUCUGGCAAUGGCAAGUUCAGUGUUUUCUUUCGUCAGUCUCUCACAAAAAAGGAUUCAGGACCUCUGCUAUCUCAUAUGUUCAUAAACGAUUGUAAGUUGUAUAGGAACAAACAUGAGCAAACACAAAUGUACCAUUAAAUGCUUAUACUUUUGUGGCGUAAUGCAUGUUGUAUAGGAUAGGAUUAAAGAAGAUAGGGAACUGUGUCUGCUGUAGCUAUUGUAUACCAAGAAUGCCUUUUCAUCUGAUCAUGGU